rnacentral:rRNA from 1 species
UACAGAGGUCUCGAGCGUUGUUCGGAUUCAUUGGGCGUAAAGGGCGCGUAGGCGGGUUCGUAAGUCUGUGGUGAAAGCCCCCGGCUCAACUGGGGAGGGUCACGCGAUACUGAUCGACUCGAAGGCAGGAGAGGGAAGUGGAAUUCCCGGUGUAGUGGUGAAAUGCGUAGAUAUCGGGAGGAACACCAGUGGCGAAGGCGACUUCCUGGCCUGUUCUUGACGCUGAGGCGCGAAAGCUAGGGGAGCAAACGGG